GCGGGUGUAGUUCAGUGGUAGAACGAAUGCUUCCCAAGCAUUAUGUCGUGGGUUCGAGUCCCAUCACCCGCU
rnacentral:tRNA from 1 species